AAUCAAGUACCUUAUGUUAGAGUUCUUAUCACAUGAAGCUCCAAUUAGUGGUCAGGGUACCUCUGGGUCCUCAAUAACUAUUUGGGAAAUGAAUGAGUAAUACUAUGUGUCAGCCCUUUCUGCCUGCUCAGAAGAGAUGUCUGCCUGUUAUUCAGGAAAGUUUGGGCACGUAUUUCCAACUAAGAACAGCAGAAAAGUGAUAACGGGAUGAGAUGUUGACCAGCAGCUCACAGACGAUGGUUAAAUUGUCAAAGAGGAGAGGAAGUAUUUACUUCUGUUUUAGAAGCAGGUCUUCCUGGUAGAUUAGUGAAGAAAACCUGACCUGAAAUUUUUAAUUAUGGUACAAGAAGGAGCCCAGACCACUGUUUCAUGUUAUGCCUGGUUUGGCUUUCAUAAAAUAGAAGCACAGAAUUGGGGAACACUAGAAGAGAAAGGGUCAUCAGAGCUCAGUGAGCAGAAGCCCCUGAUUUGCAAGUACAAGCAGCAGAAGCUUGCAGCCCUCUCACAGGUUAGCAGUUCCCAAAUCCUUCGGUUCUUACUUACUGGAACUGCACAAGUCUUUCACAUCUCAGGGUUCAUAACAUGUAGCAGUUUUUACAAUUAGGUCUAUGAAGACCUUUCACUCUUUUAGCAUUUUCCCCUCACUAUGGAUGAGCAGACAACUCCAGAGGAGGCGUCAGGUAUUUUAAAUACCAUCUGCCUCAUGCCUGUCACAUCUCAGCCAUCCUUUAAUUGGAAAGGAAGGUUUUCUUCUUUGCCUUCCAAGUUUCUGAAACCCAUUUCUAUGUUAUUCCUUCCCCUAUAACGUUACUAUAUCCUUAUGAAGAUGUAGUGCGGAAGAGGUAGAAGUGGUGCUGCUUCCAUGUGCAGGUUUAAGUUAGGAACUAUCUACAAUUAGCUAAAUUCAAUGAAACAUUUGUGGCCAAAGAAUUAUAUGUUUUUGGUUUUCUUUCCUAUAGUGUAGUAAUAGGAGCUUUUAACUCCUAUUGGACCUGUUUGGGAGUUUUCCUAGUUCUGCCACUUAGUCUCUCUGCAUGAGAACAUCUUAUCUGCUCUGAGCCCUGACUUUUAUUCUCUAUAAAAUGAGGAGAAUAAGUGAAAUCUUUAAUUUUUUUCUUAUGGAAAAAAACUAAGUUUGUGGAAGACUUUCUGGUAACUGUCCCGCUUCAACACUAUCUUAUUGAUUUUUGUCAGAGCUCUAUUUUUUUAUUACUUAUUUUUAGAGUCAUAUAAAAUACUGAUAAAAGCAUUUACUUUCUUAAAUUAUAUCACAGUUUCUCUAAUUUGUCCUCUGCUUCUUUCUUAAAUGAUUCAACAAACACUUACUGCCUGCCAUAUGUUUGGUAUUGUGUAGGGGAAUGCAGAGAGAAAAGUUGUUUGUAUUUCUUUCCUUCAAGAUUUAUAAUUUAAUUGGAAAGAUUAUUAGCUGCAAUGUAAGAGACACUUUGUAUUGUUACUCAUCUUGUUUCUGUUUCUGCGUGUUGCUUUUUUUUUGGGGGGGGUCUUCUCUGAUUGCUUCAGAUGAUUGGUAAUAAUUUGCUCCUACUUAUAUUAACCCUUUUUCUUUUGCCCUCUGGAAUCCUCAUUCAUUUUUAGCAUCAAUUAUGUGCAAAAUACUAUUCUGGGUUCUAUAGAAGACAACAAAGAUACAUUAGAUAUAAUAACCAAGAAAGAGUGUAUAAUCCAACAGAGCAGAUAAAAAAGAUACACAAACAGAAUUCAAAUCAUAAGAGAGGGAGAAGAAGGCAGUGGUCAUUUCAAGUUGAAGGGAUCAAAGAGUCCUUAAUGAAAAGCUGAACUUCAGGUAGAUUCUUGCAGAAUGUGUAGGAUUUUGGUCAACAAGAAUUGGGAUGGGCAAAGGCAUCCUAACUAAAUGGUAUUAACAAAAAUAUUGGAGUAAGUUAUAGUAAUGAAUCAGUCUGGAAUCUUGUGUAGAUAUACAUGUGGUUGAAGAGUAGAAGAAAUUAAAAUGUGUCUUGAAUAUGUAGAUUCUUGAAUGGCAUACUGUGGGAAUUUUCUCUUUU